UGUGAAGGAAAGGUGAAAAGGACCCCGGGAGGGGAGUGAAAGAGAACCUGAAACCUUGUGCUUACAAGCAGUCAAAGCGCGUUAAAGCGUGAUGACGUACUUUUUGUAGAACGGUCCGGCGAGUUAUAGUAACGAGCAAGCUUAAGGUAUUGAGUACCGGAGGCGAAGCGAGAGCGAGUCUGAAUAGGGCGUAAAGUUCGUUGCCAUAGACCCGAAACCGGGUGACCUAUCCAUGAGCAGGCUGAAGUGAGAGUAAAAUCUCAUGGAGGGCCGAACGCACGUUCGUUGCAAUGACCGGCGAUGACUUGUGGUUAGCGGAGAAAUUCCAAUCGAACUCGGAGAUAGCUGGUUCUCCCCGAAAUAGCUUUAGGGCUAGCCUCAAGUAGUAAGUAUAGGCGGUAGAGCACUGAUCGGGCUAGGGGCCAUAAAGGUUACCGAACCCUGUCAAACUCCGAAUGGUUAUACUGUAGAGCUUGGGAGUCAGACUACGAGUGAUAAGAUCCGUGGUCAAAAGGGAAACAGCCCAGACCACCAGCUAAGGUCCCCAAUGUCGUACUAAGUGGAAAAGGAUGUGGGGUCUCUAAAACAACCAGAAUGUUGGCUUAGAAGCAGCCACCAUUUAAAGAGUGCGUAAUAGCUCACUGGUCGAGAGACCCUGCGCCGAAGAUUACCGGGGCUAAAGUACGAAACCGAAGCUGUGGCUACGACUUAGGUCGUGGGGUAGGGGAGCGUUCUGUGAGGGCUGAAGUCGUUCUGUAAGGAACGGUGGACUUCACAGAAGUGAGAAUGUUGGUAUGAGUAGCGAAAAGAAUGGUGAGAAUCCAUUCCACCGAAAGCAUAAGGAUUCCUGGGCAACGAUCGUCGUCCCAGGGUAAGUCGGGACCUAAUCCGAGGCAUGGAGCGUAGGAGAUGGACAACUGGCAGAUAUUCCAGUACCGGUAAUGAUUGUUUGAGCGAUGGAGUGACACAGGAGGGCAGGCAGGCAGGAGAUUGGUUGUUCCUGUACAAGCGUGUAGGGUGGAACGCAGGCAAAUCCGCGUUCUGAGAGCCUGAGGCGUGAUGUGGAGGUUCCGGAAACGGAACUGAAGCUGCUGACCCCACACUGUCGAGAAAAGCUUCUAGUUAGAGAAUUACCGCCCGUACCGUAAACCGACACAGGUAUGCGGGGAGAGAAUCCUAAGGUGCGCGGGAGAACCCUCGUUAAGGAACUCGGCAAAAUGUACCCGUAACUUCGGGAUAAGGGUAGCCGCUGUUGUGAAGUCUGAACAGACGGAGCAUGAGGCGGUCGCAGAGAAGAGGCCCAAGCGACUGUUUACCACAAACACAGGUGCCUGCUAAAGAGAAAUCUGACGUAUAGGUGCUGACACCUGCCCAGUGCCGGAAGGUUAAGGAAGGAUGUCCGGAGCAAUCCAAAGCAUUCGACCGAAGCCCCGGUGAACGGCGGCCGUAACUAUAACGGUCCUAAGGUAGCGAAAUUCCUUGUCGGGUAAG
rnacentral:rRNA from 1 species